GCACCGCUGAUGAGUCUCACAAUAGGGCGAAACGGCCGUCCAGUGC
rfam:Schistosoma curassoni strain Dakar, Senegal genome assembly, scaffold: SCTD_scaffold0008846